rnacentral:lncRNA from 1 species
ACCUUGGUGAUGGCCAGACUCUAAAUCCGGGGCCACUUCUUGCCUUGGGAAUAUAGUCUUUCCUGGCACUCACUUAGCCAAAAAUCUUUCUAGAAGGGUGGCAGGCCUUCCUGCCCCACUCCCGGAACAGGCUGGCUGCUUUCAGGCGCAGAAGAGCCAGCCCUUUGGAGGAGGAGGCUUGUGAGAGUGGGGAUGGGCCGCAGAGCCUCCCCAGGCAGGGCAGCGUUGCAGCUUGCAUGUGGCAGGGGUGUGGGGUGAAGCUGUGCAGGGCAAAAGACAGGUCAGUUCCCGCUGGAAGUGCCCCACUGGGGGGCCUCGGUGUGUCUCUUUCCCCAGCACUGGCAUGGCACAUUUUGACCCGAGCAAUGGUGAGCUGCCCGGAAUACGAACAGGAGGAAGAGAACCUUCCCCAGGCAGCAUGUGAGGCUGGGGUGGCACUCAACACAGGACAGCAGGCAAGGACAUGCCGCCCUCCAGGCUAAGGGUCUUGGGAGCCUCCCCUCCCAGCCCCUGCUGUUGCCUUCCUUAAACACGUGGUAUUUUUAUAAUCAGGGAAAAACUAUUUUUAAAGACUCAUUAUAGGAAGAUAGACAAAUAGAGACAAAUGGCAUGCUUUCUUUCAGUCAUUGGGGAUGGAUGAUACACGUAGCAGAAGUAUUCGUUAGACCAACAAAUAGGAAUAGUAAGUCAAUAUUGUUCUUUCUUUAAUAAAAGAUUUAUAUGUUGGUAGCUUAUUAAUCCAAUACUAUGUGAGUUUUCUAACCAAACACAUAUACUUGUACACCAGGGCAGAAAAAUCUCAAUUAAGAUUUUGUGUGGACUCGGGAAGUGUUUUUGUUCCCUAAACAAUAGCCUUAAGAAGGGUGGAAAAAGGCCCGUCUUCUUCUUGGAUCCUUGGUUGGAUGACAACCCUCCGGUGGUGAGACAUGGUGCCUGAUUUUCAGUUGGGGCUUUCUGCUUCCCCUUUUUGGUUUUCUAGGGACAAUUUAAAAGAUUCUGCAAGUUAAUUACUGGAGAAGUCCAUAGAUCCUGGAUUCAUAGUAUCAGAUUAAUGAAUUGUGGUCUUUGAGUGGGAAUCCUAGUGGUUUAUUUAGACUCAUCAGUUGUCUUAUUCUUUUUUUAAAAAAAGAAAGAAAACACUUAUUUUCGUAAGCUUGUAUUGCCCUUAAAAUAUUUCUCUGCACUCUUAGGUCACCUGCCUAUUCACGCCAGGAGCCCAUCGCUUGCGUUAAGAGAUUAGAAGUUUCUUUCUUAACCAUAAUGUGCCAGGAUUUUGUUAUAUGGAAAAAUCUGUCCGUGUUUCCAACUAAUAUUUCCUAGCCUUCAGGCAAGUGCGACUUGCUUCACUGUAAAAUGGAUUCCCGGGACCUGCGGUAUCGGGACGGGCAGAAUUCUUUAAAAUGCAGGGCCCCGGGCAACCCCAUCACUUCCCGGCUGGCUCCGGGCGGUCCCGGGCUGCCCGCCGGCCGCAGAGCCCCCUCUCCCGGGCCCGCCCGGCCGCAGCCUCAGUUUCCCCGGCAGAGCGGGGCGGAGGCGAGGCUGGGGACGCUCGGGCGGCGGGGAAGGGGCCGACUCGGCCAGGCGCGCCCGGCUGGGAGGUCCCGCGGGCCCUGGAGCCUCCCGCAGCCCGCCUGGGCCUCCGGGGCGCGACCCCCUAAUCC